rnacentral:lncRNA from 1 species
GCUUCACAGUUCCCCCUGAUCAUUUCUGAAUUCUAAAGAACAGAAAACAAUAUAUAUCAUCAAACAUGAACCUAACACAUCUCAGGGAAGGGGACAAUAAUAAAAAAAAAAAGCCAUCUAAAAUGAAGUCUUGAUAGUACAGAUUGAAUGAAAUACCACAUUGCAAGUAUAUUGGUUGUUGUGACUUCUAAGCAAUGAUUUUUGUGUUCGCAUGUACUACAGAAGUUAGUUUGUAGAAUGUUCAUACUAAUUAGUUUAGACAUGAGAACUUUCAACUACAAGUAAUUUACAAACAACACAAUCAGCAUUACAUGACUACGAUACCUCAGUAAUUUCAAUACAAAGUUUCUCCAUCCCAAAUUGCAAGAGUUCUCCAACAGGUGAUAUACGUAGAGUGAUUUCAUGUCUAAGAAAGAGAGUAUUUCAUCUGGUAGAUUUGCUGAUUCAGUCUUUCAUUCUCUAAUACAAAUUAGUGUAGUGACAACCUACAAAAUCAAUCUGGUAAGAAAUUGAGAUUAAGUCUAUGAGUCUAUCUAGGGUUUAGGGUUUAGGGUUUAGG